GACGAACGCUGGCGGCGUGCCUAAUACAUGCAAGUAGAACGCUGAAGAGAGGAGCUUACUCUUUUUGGAUGAGUUGCGAACGGGUGAGUCACGCGUGGGUACCCUGCCUUGUAGUGGGGGAUCACUAGUGGACACGAUAGCUAAUACCGUAUAACAAUGGAUGACAUAUGGGAUGUAUUAGAAAGGGGCAAGUGCUCCACUAAAAGACGGACCUGCGUUGUAUUAGUGAGUAGGUGCGGUAAUGGCGCACGUAGGCGUCGAUACAUAGCCGACCUGAGAGGGUGGCCGGCCGCCCUGGGACUGUGACACGGCCCAGUGGGAUUCAGGAGGCAGCAGUAGGGAUUCGUGGGCAAUGGGGGCAACCCUGACCGCGCAACGCCGCGUGCGUGAAGAAGGUUUUCGGGUGGGAAAGCUCUGUUGUAGGUCAAGAACGGGUGUGAGAGUGGAAAGUUCAGACUGUGACGGUAGCUUACCAGGAAGGGACGGCUAACUACGUG
rnacentral:rRNA from 1 species